AGAGUUCAUUAAAGACCGUCAGAGCUCGUAUUGAUUUGUUUCUUUACUUCUCUGCAGUUAUACAUUUCACUUACCUGUUUGGGUCUCUUCAGCCUGAGGCGGGUAACAGACACAAUCAGUUCCACCAGUUGAGGAUGCCUCUUCUCAGGCGGAUACCCUUCCAGCCUCAACCCAUCACAGGGAAACACUCAUACACUCUCAUUCCUCAGUAUCAAACCCACUCCUGUGCACUUUGCUCUGGUUGAGGCUCUGCAGUGUGAAUGUCGGCCUAUAUAAAGCUCUGCUUGAAGCCUCUUGUUUGAUUCUAAACCCUGAACGUGAUGAGUUCUCACGGCAGACAGUAAAUAACUGAAAAAAUGACAGAAUGCACAGCCCUCUUCCAGACAGUGUUUGCUUGUAAUAUCCUGAUUUUGCUCUUCAGUGGAGUCGUGAACAUUAUUCUCAGUGGAAGACUGAGAAGAACAAAAUGUAAACUGUGUUCAGCACAUCAUAAAAAUCUUCAUGCUGUGUCUGCUCCUCAACCAAGCGCAUCUGUAUCAGACGAUCAAGAGAGUAUAGAUGUGAACUACACAGUUCUGCAGUUUCCUCUAGAAAACACAAAUCCAGAGAGUUCAGAGAAUGAGGAGAGAGAGGAAAGAGGGAAGAGAACAAUUUAUUCCAGCCUGAAAUGUCAAAUCUCCAACAUCACUGAGGAAAACUGAGGAAAGAACUCCACGGUGCAGAUUUCCAUCAAAAUUAUUGAAGAUCAUCAUACUGACCCAGAGCUGAUUAACAUCUAUAAAUUACGAUCCAGUCCACACAUACGCUGUCGUGGUUAUGAUGAAGAUGAUCUCAGAGGUUAGACAGACCACAUCAGUUUUCAACAGUACCCGUGCCUUGUUUUACUCCGAUACACCUGAAUGGGCUUCAAGACCCGUAUACAGUAAAAAGAUAUCGAGUAAUC
rnacentral:lncRNA from 1 species